GGGGGCGAAUGGAUUCGACGGGGACGGCAGGCUGAGGGAAGCAGGCAGGGUGGCACCCUCAACAGCCACCGGGAAACACUUCCCGAAGCUGAACUCGCCCUCGCUGCCUAAUUGAAGGCAGCGGCUCUCCGGUGACUGCACCGCUGGGUUGCCGGUAGGGUUCAGAGACAGCGGUGUAGGAAGGAGGUAUGGGCACAGAUACCUCCUUCCGAAAAGGAACUGUGCCCCGCCUCUCACCGCCUGCCGGUGGGCUGUGAGAGGAGAGGUAAGAAACACCGGCUAAGCCUGUAGAAGCCCUCCAGCUGGGCCGUUCUCGGACGAGGGUUCGAUUCCCUCCGCCUCCACCA
rfam:Thermocrinis albus DSM 14484, complete genome.